rnacentral:rRNA from 1 species
UAAUGGUGUCACGAAAGUUCUUCUGUUUUAAAAAAACACUCAAGGAAAUUGAAUUUGUAGUGAAGAUGCUACAUUAAAAUUGUUAGACGAGAAGUCCCCAUGGAGCUUUACUGAAAGCCUAAAAAAAAUUUUUUAUUUAUUUAUAGGCUAGACAGUUUUGUUGGGGUGAUAGUUUUUUAAAAAGUAACGAAAACGAACUAUGACGCAUGUUUCACUCUGAAAACUUGAAGAGACAUUUGGGGUGUGUUUUAUGAUCUAUUGUUUUGAAUGAAAAAGAUAAUGAAAGCAGAUAAAA